rfam:Salmo salar isolate Sally breed double haploid chromosome ssa18, whole genome shotgun sequence.
UGCAUUCAGUACUGUAAAUCGCUCUGAAUGAGAGUGUCUGCUAAAUGACUAAAA